rnacentral:rRNA from 1 species
AGUGAACGCUGGCGGUAGGCCUAACACAUGCAAGUCGAACGGCAGCACAGGAGAGCUUGCUCUCUGGGUGGCGAGUGGCGGACGGGUGGGGAAUACAUCGGAAUCUACUCUGUCGUGGGGGAUAAAGUAGGGAAACUUACGCUAAUACCGCAUACGACCUUCGGGUGAAAGCAGGGGACAUUCGAGCCUUGCGCGAUUGAAUGAGCCGAGGUGGGAUUAGCUAGUUGGCGGGGUAAAGGCCCACCAAGGCGACGAUCCGUAGCUGGUCUGAGAGGAUGAUCAGCCACACUGGAACUGAGACACGGGCCAGACUCCUACGGGAGGCAGCAGUGGGGAAUAUUGGACAAUGGGCGCAAGCCUGAUCCAGCCAUACCGCGUGGGUGAAGAAGGCCUUCGGGUUGUAAAGCCCUUUUGUUGGGAAAGAAAUCCAGCUGGCUAGUACCCGGUUGGGAUGACGGUACCCAAAGAAUAAGCACCGGCUAACUUCGUGCCAGCCGCCGCCGUAA